UGUUAAAAAUUCUAUCUAUUUCUACUGUUAAAAAUUGGCUUGACUGACAAAAUAAUCAAACAUAUGUGGUGUGUUAUAUGUACCUUAUUUUAAUAUAUUCUGAUGUAUAGAGACCAAUUUUUAAUAGAAGAAAUGGAUAAAAAUUAUAAUA
rfam:Gossypium arboreum cultivar AKA8401 contig_14120_1, whole genome shotgun sequence.